UGAGAAGAAAAAUGAAAAAAGAAUCCUGGAGAUGACCAGCAUUUAGUGGGGUGAGGAAGAAGAGAAAAGCAGCAAGUAAAGAAUAAAAGGAAAUCCAUAAUUUUUGAAUGCUGGCCGAGGUCUGUGACCUCUGACUGAAUGGUUUCCAAGCUCCGAAUUCCUAGGUGAUGUUUUCAUUUGUUCACACUUGCUGAAGAAGGGAAAGGCUCUCUGAUUUACGUGUAAGCAAAACAAUCUAAACAGUAGGAUAAAAUCAUGUUGGAAUGGAGUUCUGUGUGGAUGCUCCUUUGA
rnacentral:lncRNA from 10 species